rnacentral:tRNA from 1 species
CACUGGUCGCCCGGGUGCGGCCGGAGGAGGUGCCGCUGUCGCUGGCACAGCAGCGGAUGUGGUUCCUCAACCGGUUCGACACCGAGUCGGCGG